rnacentral:tRNA from 1 species
UAGAUUAUAGGUUAAAGUUAAACCAUUGGCCUUCAAAGCCGAUAAUGGGACGGAAGCCCUGAUCUUG